rnacentral:rRNA from 1 species
UGAGGAAUAUUGGUCAAUGGGGGAAACCCUGAUGCAGCCAUGCCGCGUGUGUGAAGAAGGCCUUCGGGUUGUAAAGCACUUUCAGCGAGGAGGAAAGGUGGCUAGCUAAUACCUAGUUGCUGUGACGUUACUCGCAGAAGAAGCACCGGCUAACUCCGUGCCAGCAGCCGCGGUAAUACGGAGGGUGCAAGCGUUAAUCGGAAUAACUGGGCGUAAAGCGCACGCAGGCGGUCGGAUAAGUCAGAUGUGAAAGCCCCGGGCUCAACCUGGGAACUGCAUUUGAAACUGUUCAACUAGAGUCUUGUAGAGGGGGGUAGAAUUCCAGGUGUAGCGGUGAAAUGCGUAGAGAUCAGGAGGAAUACCGGUGGCGAAGGCGGCCCCCUGGACAAAGACUGACGCUCAGGUGCGAAAGCGUGGGGAGCAAACA